rnacentral:RNase_P_RNA from 1 species
GAGAGUAGGUGUAGGUGGUUGCAGAUAAGUCGUAAAUGACAAGUUUGAGGAAAGUCCGGGCUUCUGAAAGACCAAACCUGCUGGAUAACGUCCAGUGUGAGCGAUCGCGAGGAUAGUGCCACAGAAAGAUACCGCCAAAGUAAAGUUAGGAGUUAGGAGUUAAAUGUUAGGAAUUAAUAACUCAUAACUAAUAAUUCAUAACUUAUAACGUAGUUUGGUAAGGGUGCAAAGGUGCGGUAAGAGCGCACCAGCAGCAUCGAGAGGUGCUGGCUCGGUAAACCCCGGUUGGAAGCAAGGUAAUGGAACUAUGGUUGGUCUUUUACCAGUUCCGCAAAUUGAGCCGCUAGAGGUGUUCUGGUAACAGGCAUCCCAGAUAGAUAACCGCCAUUGUUUUGUAAAGUGUUACUUGUAACGUUUUACAGGCAAUAACAGAACCCGGCUUAUGUCCGACUCUCUCCU